GGGGAAUAUUGCACAAUGGGGGAAACCCUGAUGCAGCGACGCCGCGUGGAGGAAGAAGGUCUUCGGAUUGUAAACUCCUGUUGUUGAGGAAGAUAAUGACGGUACUCAACAAGGAAGUGACGGCUAACUACGUGCCAGCAGCCGCGGUAAAACGUAGGUCACAAGCGUUGUCCGGAAUUACUGGGUGUAAAGGGAGCGCAGGCGGGAAGACAAGUUGGAAGUGAAAUCCAUGGGCUCAACCCAUGAACUGCUUUCAAAACUGUUUUUCUUGAGUAGUGCAGAGGUAGGCGGAAUUCCCGGUGUAGCGGUGGAAUGCGUAGAUAUCGGGAGGAACACCAGUGGCGAAGGCGACCUACUGGGCACCAACUGACGCUGAGGCUCGAAAGCAUGGGUAGCAAACAGGAUUAGAUACCCUGGUAGUCCAUGCCGUAAACGAUGAUUACUAGGUGUUGGAGGAUUGACCCCUUCAGUGCCGCAGUUAACACAAUAAGUAAUCCACCUGGGGAGUACGACCGCAAGGUUGAAACUCAAAGGAAUUGACGGGGGCCCGCACAAGCAGUGGAGUAUGUGGUUUAAUUCGAAGCAACGCGAAGAACCUUACCAGGUCUUGACAUCCGAUGCAUAGCACAGAGAUGUGUGAAAUCCUUCGGGACAUCGAGACAGGUGGUGCAUGGUUGUCGUCAGCUCGUGUCGUGAGAUGUUGGGUUAAGUCCCGCAACGAGCGCAACCCUUAUUGCCAGUUACUACGUUAAGAGGACUCUGGCGAGACUGCCGUUGACAAAACGGAGGAAGGUGGGGAUGACGUCAAAUCAUCAUGCCCUUUAUGACCUGGGCUACACACGUACUACAAUGGCGUUAAACAAAGAGAAGCAAGACCGCGAGGUGGAGCAAAACUCAGAAACAACGUCCCAGUUCGGACUGCAGGCUGCAACUCGCCUGCACGAAGUCGGAAUUGCUAGUAAUCGCAGAUCAGCAUGCUGCGGUGAAUACGUUCCCG
rnacentral:rRNA from 1 species